UGUGGUGGCGAUAGCCAGAAGGAUACACCUGUUCCCAUGCCGAACACAGUCGUUAAGCUUCUGCACGCCAAGAGUAGUUGGGGGAUCGCCCCCUGCAAGGGUAGGACGUUGCCACGC
rfam:Lactobacillus brevis subsp. gravesensis ATCC 27305 genomic scaffold SCAFFOLD9, whole genome shotgun sequence.